ACUGUCACCCCUUGUUGCUUCCCGUGUGCUCUACCCAGAUGCGAACAGGAUGUGAGCAGUGA
rnacentral:pre_miRNA from 1 species